CCAUCAAAUCCACAAAAUCGGCCAAUCCAAAUCAAUUUCACUCUAUUUCACCAAAGAUUCAUCCCCUCUCCACCAAAUCCACAAAAACCCUAUUGUAAAACGACGAUUCUGCAAUCCAAAUCAAUUUCAUUCUAUUUCACCAAAGAUUCAUCCCCUCUCCAUCUAAUCCACAAAAACCCUACUGUAAAACGACGAUUCUGCAAACUGACCAAAUCUGACCUAACGCCUACUUGAUGAUUCUAAAAUCGACGAGGUAAACCAAUCGCCUUCUUCAACAAUGGUCAACACACAAGCUUCUGGUACGGCAACGCAUGACGGAGAAGAAAGGUGCCGCCAAAACAAAAAGUGCAGAAAGAAAAAGGUCAAAGUUCCACACAAAAAACGACUGAACUGAGGAAUGAUAUCCAUGACACAAAACAAGGUUAAAGUCAUGUACCUCUGCUUUUGAAGAACUCAUGAAUUGAAGGGGAAGAAGGAAAAGGAACGGCUGCAGAUGUUGCCAUUUCUGGAAUAAAGAGGCGGCAUCCAAACAUUAUGCAAGGGAGAGCAAGAAAACAAAGAUUAACGUAGAAAAGAUGAUAGCAAACUACGGAUCUUAAUCAAUAGUUAUGUCAUACCAAAAACUACUGAAUCUUUUUGUUCAUUUCU